AAGUCGUAACAAGGUUUCCGUAGGUGAACCUGCGGAAGGAUCAUUAUUGAAAUUAUCCUUUUGGCAGUGCUUCUCGACCUCUUUGUCUAUGAAAAGAGCCUUCGCAAGAAGGGUCUUUUUAUACAAAGAGAGAGAGAUGUACUGGCUCACGCUUUUCAAGUUUCCCUCAAAAGAACACUUGUCAAGCUGUGGAAACAAAAAAACCCACCAUUGUGAACUAGAAAACAAAAACAUAUAUAAACUAUUGAGACGUUAUCUAUAUUGUAUCAACCAAUAUCUAUUUGUAAAAAAAUAAUGUAAACAAAAAUACAACUAUUAACGAUGGAUCCCUUGGCUCUUA
rnacentral:misc_RNA from 1 species